rnacentral:rRNA from 1 species
GACGGAGGGCGCGAGCGUUGUCCGGAUUUAUUGGGCGUAAAGAGCUCGUAGGCGGCUUGUUGCGUCGACCGUGAAAACCCGGGGCUCAACUUCGGGCUUGCGGUCGAUACGGGCGGGCUAGAGUUCGGUAGGGGAGACUGGAAUUCCUGGUGUAGCGGUGAAAUGCGCAGAUAUCAGGAGGAACACCGGUGGCGAAGGCGGGUCUCUGGGCCGAUACUGACGCUGAGGAGCGAAAGCGUGGGGAGCGAACAGG